UUUCAAAGCUGCAGUGGAAGACAUGCCUGAGUUCUCCGCGCACCAGUGCCAGGAUGCAAGCCUCCGCCCUCCCAGGAAACUGGCCAGUGAUAUUCCAUCUCCCUUCCUGCUGUCAGCUUCUUGACGGAAGAAGAUACAGACACAGAGGAGAAGGUCAUGUGAAGACAAAGGCAGAGACUGGAACGAUACCUCUACAAGCCACAGAACGCCAGGAACUACCAGAGGCUGGAAGAUGCAAAGAUCCUCCCCCAGAACCUCCAGAGGAAGCGUGGCCCUGCCGACACCCUGAUGAUGGACGUCUGGCCUCCAGAACUGGGGUAGAAGAGAUAGGUAGCUGCUCCGGGAAGAAAGAACUGUAAGAGAACAGAUGGCAGCGGGGGACCACUGAACGCCUAAGAGGACAAGACGUGCACGACAAGAUAGAAGAUCUUCAAAGACAAUGCUCAAAAUGUGGGCAAAGGAAAUUAAUAGACACAUCACGGAAAAGACCUAAGUCAGAAGUUCACAGGAAGAUGGUACAGUUCACUAUUAAUAUCUCACGUGCAUGUUUUUCAAAUUUUCACAAUGUUUUAAGAUACAAGGAGACUCCUCAUACCCAAAUACUGACCUGUAAGGAUGUUCUGCAACAUCAGUGUGUCUUCCAACCUAACUACAUUAACACAAGUAAACCUCAAAAUGCUUACUAACUUGAAUGAUAAAUUGUAAAAGUAACAUUUAUUUUACUGAAUGCCAAGACUACCGAAGACCAAAAGUGUUCUUUAGCUUAUAAAUGGUCCACUUGUAAUUUGCUAGCACAACUUUAGAAGUGCUUUCAAGGGGGGGAAAAAACACUCAAAAUAUAAACAAACUCUCAUCUUCAAUAAGACUCCAUUACUGUAAAAGGUUAAGGAUGGAUCUUAAAUAGCUCAUAAACAGAGAAAGUAUGCCUGGAUUGAUUUAAGAAACCUGUAAAAUCUUAUAGAUUUACUUACCCUAGUAUAAAUUUCAUCACUAACCU